rfam:Zea mays cultivar B73 chromosome 4, whole genome shotgun sequence.
UAUUGUUGCGAUGAGGAUACCAAGCUCCCUCUUCUGAAAGCAGUGAGGACACUUGCCGGCAGAAUCGAACCAAUAACCUUAUUGCCACCACUGAGUAA